UACAGAGGGCCCAAGCGUUGUUCGGAUUCAUUGGGCGUAAAGGGCGCGUAGGCGGCGGGGCAAGUCAGGUGUGAAAUCUCGGGGCUCAACCCCGAAACUGCACUUGAUACUGCCUUGCUCGAGUACUGGAGAGGAGACUGGAAUUUACGGUGUAGCAGUGAAAUGCGUAGAUAUCAAGAGGAACACCAGUGGCGAAGGCGAGUCCCUGGACAAUCCCUGACACUGAGGCACGAAAGCCAAGGGAGCAAACAGG
rnacentral:rRNA from 1 species